CACGUAGGGUGCGAGCGUUGUCCGGAAUUAUUGGGCGUAAAGAGCUCGUAGGCGGUGUGUCGCGUCGGCCGUGAAAACUUGCAGCUUAACUGUGGGCUUGCGGUCGAUACGGGCAUCACUGGAGUUCGGCAGGGGAGACUGGAAUUCCUGGUGUAGCGGUGAAAUGCGCAGAUAUCAGGAGGAACACCAAUGGCGAAGGCAGCUCGCUGGGACGGUACUGACGCUGAGGCGCGAAAGCGUGGGGAGCAAACAGG
rnacentral:rRNA from 1 species